UGAACGCUGGCGGCGUGCUUAACACAUGCAAGUCGAACGGUGAUGGUACAUGCGAGGGAGUAGUUUACUAUGACCAGACAAGUGCCAUCCUAGUGGCGGACGGGUGAGUAACGCGUGGGCAACCUGCCCUGUACAGGGGGAUAACACUUAGAAAUAGGUGCUAAUACCGCAUGAGCGCACAAAGGCGCAUGCCUAUGUGCGGGAAGCCCGCGAGGGCGGUACGGGAUGGGCCCGCGUCUGAUUAGCCAGUUGGCAGGGUAACGGCCUACCAAAGCGACGAUCAGUAGCCGGCCUGAGAGGGUGGACGGCCACAUUGGGACUGAGACACGGCCCAAACUCCUACGGGAGGCAGCAGUGGGGGAUAUUGCACAAUGGGGGAAACCCUGAUGCAGCGACGCCGCGUGAGUGAAGGAGCGUUUCGGCGCGUAAAGCUCUAUCAGCAGGGAAGACAAACUGCCCCGGAAGGGGCAGCCGGACGGUACCUGACCAAGAAGCCCCGGCUAACUACGUGCCAGCAGCCGCGGUAAUACGUAGGGGGCAAGCGUUAUCCGGAUUUACUGGGUGUAAAGGGAGCGUAGACGGCAAGACAAGCCUGGAGUGAAAGGCGGGGGCCCAACCCCCGGACUGCUCUGGGAACUGUCUGGCUGGAGUGCAGGAGGGGUAAGUGGAAUUCCUAGUGUAGCGGUGAAAUGCGUAGAUAUUAGGAGGAACACCAGUGGCGAAGGCGGCUUACUGGACUGUAACUGACGUUGAGGCUCGAAAGCGUGGGGAGCAAACAGGAUUAGAUACCCUGGUAGUCCACGCCGUAAACGAUGACCACUAGGUGUCGGGGGCUUAAGGGCGCCCGGUGCCGCAGCAAACGCAAUAAGUGGUCCACCUGGGGAGUACGUUCGCAAGAAUGAAACUCAAAGGAAUUGACGGGGACCCGCACAAGCGGUGGAGCAUGUGGUUUAAUUCGAAGCAACGCGAAGAACCUUACCUGGCCUUGACAUCCCUUUGGAUGCGCGGUAACGCGCGCAGCCCUUCGGGGCGGAGGAGGCAGGUGGUGCAUGGUUGUCGUCAGCUCGUGUCGUGAGAUGUUGGGUUAAGUCCCGCAACGAGCGCAACCCUUACCCUUAGUAGCCAGCAGGAGAGCUGGGCACUCUAGGGGGACUGCCGGGGAUAACCCGGAGGAAGGCGGGGAUGACGUCAAAUCAUCAUGCCCCUUAUGGCCAGGGCUACACACGUGCUACAAUGGCGUAAACAAAGGGAGGCGAACCGGCGACGGCAAGCAAACCCCAGAAAUAACGUCCCAGUUCGGAUUGUAGUCUGCAACCCGACUACAUGAAGCUGGAAUCGCUAGUAAUCGCAGAUCAGAACGCUGCGGUGAAUACGUUCCCGGGUCUUGUACACACCGCCCGUCACACCAUGGGAGCCGGGAAUGCCCGAAGUCGGCAGCCUAACCGCGAGGAGGGAGCCGCCGAAGGCAGGCCUGGUGACUGGGGUGAAGUC
rnacentral:rRNA from 1 species